rnacentral:piRNA from 1 species
UGAGGUUAUAAUAUUCCUAGAGAGCCAGAU